AUUGAACGCUGGCGGCAUGCUUUACACAUGCAAGUCGAACGGUAACAGGCCUUCGGGUGCUGACGAGUGGCGCACGGGUGAGUAAUGCAUCGGAACGUACCCAGAGGUGGGGGAUAACGCAGCGAAAGCUGUGCUAAUACCGCAUGUGAUCUGAGGAUGAAAGCGGGGGACCGAGCAGCAAUGUUUGGCCUCGCGCCUUUGGAGCGGCCGAUGUCGGAUUAGCUAGUUGGUGGGGUAAAGGCCUACCAAGGCGACGAUCCGUAGCUGGUCUGAGAGGACGACCAGCCACACUGGGACUGAGACACGGCACAGACUCCUACGGGAGGCAGCAGUGGGGAAUUUUGGACAAUGGGCGCAAACCUGAUCCAGCAAUGCCGCGUGCGGGAAGAAGGCCUUCGGGUUGUAAACCGCUUUUGGCAGGAACGAAACGGUGUCCGCUAAUACCGGGCGCUAAUGACGGUACCUGCAGAAUAAGCACCGGCUAACUACGUG
rnacentral:rRNA from 1 species